CUGAACGCCUCGCAAGCCCUCUUCCCGGUGGAGCGAGGCAGCAGCUCUGACUGGUGUACCUAGGCUCAACUGCGGAGCUAAGGGAGGUUUUCCAUCGUCGGAGUGGUGGCCUGGACCUUCACUUGCCACUAGGGUGAACAGACAGGCAUCAUGCAUCACAUUUUCAGGAAGCAGCUUGCCGUAACAUUUUGCAACAUGCUUGGAUGUCCUGGAUAUGAGAAGACCAACCAGAAGGUCAGAAACUGAAAAUUGGUUUGCAGAAUAGUUUGAGUGAACGUCUUAAGGUUACAAAGGCAAGCAUAUGGAGAUCUACGUUUGCAUCUUUGAAUUGUAGGAGGCAGAUCUAUUCAACACAUUGCUAGGAGGCAUCCACUGAACAGCCCAGAUGCUAGUAUUUUCCAGCAUUCAACAGUACUUACGUAGUGGACAUGACUUCAUCUGCGAAGAGAAAACCAACUCAAAAUGGAGAAAUAACAGUAAGAAAAUUUAUGAUGUCACAGAAGAGGAUACACAAGGGAAGGCAAUCCUAAGAUUGAUGGGAAACAUAGGAAAAAGAAGAUAAUACUGGAACAAGGUGUUGGAGGAUGACAGCUAAAUCCCACUUCAACCAAGCAACCAACCAACCCACCCUGAGAAGUUUCCAUUCCAGGGGCUGGAUGGAAAGAAGUACCUCCAAAGAAUAUAUGUAUAACUUCAUAUCUCUUCAGGGUCUUUGGUAGAGCGAUCCAAUUUGGGAAGACCAGUCUUUGAAAAACUAUGAAAACUAUUUGCUAAUAUUAUGAAAAGCACAAUUUUCCUUUGCAUCUCUCUCUUUGAAUGUUAUAGGACUAUAUAGAAAGCUGCAGAUAUAAUGCCACAGUAAUUAGAAACUUUCCCCUCUAAAGACUGAAAAGCAGCUAACUCGUGGACUCACUAUACUUUCUUCAAAUGAUUUUUUUCUGGAAGCAUCGUAACAUUCAAUAAGUAGUCACAAUUUUUUUAAAUUAUUUAUCCAUAAGAUUAAAAGAAGUCCCUCCAUAUGUGUGCUCUAUAAAUAUUUGUUGAAUAAAAGACUCAAUUAAAAAAUAAUAAAAAAGCAGUUUUGCAAAUUGCUAAUCACAUCCACUCUAGUGAGAAAUAGACAUGCAACCAUUAGUUCCCU
rnacentral:lncRNA from 1 species